GAUGAACGCUGACAGAAUGCUUAACACAUGCAAGUCGAUGGGGAAGUGGUGCUUGCACCAUGGUAACCAUGGCGGACGGGUGAGUAACGCGUAAGGAACUUGCCUGCGGGACUGGGAUAACAGCAGGAAACUGCUGAUAAUACCGGAUAAGGUCAUUAAGCUGCAUAGCUUAGUGAUGAAAGGAGACGCCUGCGGAGAGCCUUGCGUCCUAUUAGCUAGUUGGAGGGGUAACGGCCCACCAAGGCGAAGAUAGGUAGCCGGCCUGAGAGGGUGGACGGCCACAAGGGGACUGAGAGACGGCCCUUACUCCUACGGGAGGCAGCAGUGGGGAAUAUUGGACAAUGGGGGCAACCCUGAUCCAGCAAUUCUGUGUGCACGAAGACGGUUUUCGGAUUGUAAAGUGCUUUCAGCAGGGAAGAAGGAAGUGACGGUACCUGCAGAAGAAGCGACGGCUAAAUACGUG
rnacentral:rRNA from 1 species